AUUGAACGCUGGCGGCAGGCCUAACACAUGCAAGUCGAGCGAGCGGCGGACGGGUGAGUAAUGUAUGGGGACUGCCCGAUAGAGGGGGAUAACUACUGGAAACGGUGGCUAAUACCGCAUACUAUCGGAUAACCCAUAUGGGAUUAGAUAGUAGGUGGGGUAAAGGCUCAACUGGGCGACGAUCCCUGGCUGGUCAGAGAGGAUGAUAGGCCGCUGGGGGACGAGGACACGGCCCUGAAUCGUACGGAGGGAGCAGUGGGGAUGAAUGGACAAUGGGCGCGAGCCUGAUGCAGCCAUGCCGCGUGUGUGAAGAAAGCCUUAGGGUUGUAAAGUACUUUCAGCGGGGAGGCGUUACCCGCAGAAGAAGCACCGGCUAACUCCGUGCCAGCAGCCGCGGUAAUUC
rnacentral:rRNA from 1 species